GGGUGAGUAAUGCCUAGGAAUCUGCCUGGUAGUGGGGGAUAACGCUCGGAAACGGACGCUAAUACCGCAUACGUCCUACGGGAGAAAGCAGGGGACCUUCGGGCCUUGCGCUAUCAGAUGAGCCUAGGUCGGAUUAGCUAGUUGGUGAGGUAAUGGCUCACCAAGGCGACGAUCCGUAACUGGUCUGAGAGGAUGAUCAGUCACACUGGAACUGAGACACGGUCCAGACUCCUACGGGAGGCAGCAGUGGGGAAUAUUGGACAAUGGGCGAAAGCCUGAUCCAGCCAUGCCGCGUGUGUGAAGAAGGUCUUCGGAUUGUAAAGCACUUUAAGUUGGGAGGAAGGGCAUUAACCUAAUACGUUGGUGUCUUGACGUUACCGACAGAAUAAGCACCGGCUAACUCUGUGCCAGCAGCCGCGGUAAUACAGAGGGUGCAAGCGUUAAUCGGAAUUAC
rnacentral:rRNA from 1 species